ACUUGUUUUUAUUUACCUGUCUUAUCUUUAAACAUUUAUUUAUUUUAAUGUUUAAUAUUAGAAGUGUUUUAGGUCUUUAUUUAGAAGUUUGGUAAUGUUUCUAUGACCAGAAAUAUGCCAUAGAAACAUAACUCUUGUUUGUAUCAAUUAGCCUAUGGUAAAAUUGGUUUCAUUAUACAUUAUUUUGCUUAAAGUUGAAGUUCCCAAUAACAUAUUGGUGACAUUAAGUGAGGACUUACUGUACAGAAAAUUUGCUCAGUUUUACGUGGGAGUAUUCUUUUUUUUUUUUUUUUUUGAGACAGGAUCUCACUGUAUCACCUGGGCUGGAGUGCAGGGGUGAGAUCAUAGCUCACUUCAGUCUUGAACUUCUGGGUUCAAGCAAUCCUCCUGCACUGGCUAUCCAAGUAGCUAGAACUAUAGGUGUACACCACCACAUUUGGCUGACUUUUCUUAUUUUUUUAUUUAUUCAUUUAUUUGUUUAUUUAUUUUUUAGAGCUAAGGUCUUGCUAUGUUGCCUAGACUGGUUUUGAACUCCUGGGCUGAAGCAAUCCUCCCACUUCGGCCUCUCAAAGUGCUGGGAUAUCAGACAUGAGCCACCUGCCAUGCUUGGCCUAUAAUCAUGAAAAGAUCAACCCCAAGAAAGAAAAGGAAACAUGGAAGGACCUGGACUGGAGUCACGCCAGUACAAGGAGGAUACUGGCAAAGAUGAGCUGCCUAGGAAUAGCCAGGCAACCAGCUGCUACUUUGAGCACCCGGCUAAAAUAAGCAGAGACAACUGGAAGGCUUGAUGUGAAAAAGAGCUGUUGAAGUGUACACAAGCAAGCUGACUGCCUUAUGACUAAUACUUGACAGAACCCAGCAAGAGGAUAUGAGAUUGCAGAUGGAUGACCUCAAUCCUGAACAGAAAGGCGUGCAUGAUAAUGGAGAGAAAAAAGCCAAUGGGGAAAAAAAACCCACCACUAUUUUUUUAAUAGCCUAACACACACACAAAAAACUGGUUUUCCUUUUUCUGUAAUGUGUCUGUAGAGCUGGCUAUUCUGAUUAAAGUUGCCCUUGAAAAAGCAAUUAACUUAAGAGUCUUACUGGAAGUUAAAAAUCCCAAGGGGCAGGAAAAAUGAGUGUAUGGGAAGCCCAGUCAACAGGUCAGAAGGUACAGCUGGGAGGUUUUAGCAUUACGUACCGUGUGUUUUUCGUUUAAGGGAGAAGCUUAUUUGCUCACUGCUAUAGUUUGGAUGUUUGUCCCCUUCAAAUCUUGUGAUGGAAUCUGAUCCCCAGUGUUGGAAGUGGGGCCUAAUGGGAGGUGUUUGGGUC
rnacentral:lncRNA from 10 species